rnacentral:rRNA from 1 species
AAUGGGCGAAAGCCUGAUGCAGCGACGCCGCGUGAGUGAAGAAGGUCUUCGGAUCGUAAAACUCUGUCCUUGGGGAAGAUAAUGACGGUACCCAAGGAGGAAGCCCCGGCUAACUACGUGCCAGCAGCCGCGGUAAUACGUAGGGGGCGAGCGUUGUCCGGAUUUACUGGGCGUAAAGGGUGAGUAGGCGGUUAUUUAAGUCAGAUGUAAAAGGCUAUGGCUCAACUAUAGUAAGCAUUUGAAACUGGAUAACUUGAGUGCAGGAGAGGUAAGUGGAAUUCCUAGUGUAGCGGUGAAAUGCGUAGAUAUUAGGGGGAACACCAGUGGCGAAGGCGACUUACUGGACUGUAACUGACGCUGAGUCACGAAAGCGUGGGUAGCAAACAGGAUUAGAUACCCUGGUAGUCCACGCUGUAAACGAUGAGUGCUAGGUGUUGGCUAGCGAUAGUCAGUGCCGACGUAAACACAAUAAGCACUCCGCCUGGGGAGUACGGUCG